CCUACGGGUGGCAGCAGUGGGGAAUAUUGGGCAAUGGGCGCAAGCCUGACCCAGCAACGCCGCGUGAAGGAAGAAGGCUUUCGGGUUGUAAACUUCUUUUCUCAGGGACGAAGCAAGUGACGGUACCUGAGGAAUAAGCCCCGGCUAACUACGUGCCAGCAGCCGCGGUAAUAAGUAGGUGGCAAGCGUUAUCCGGAUUUACUGGGUGUAAAGGGCGUGUAGGCGGGACUGCAAGUCAGAGGUGAAAACCACGGGCUCAACCUGUGGCCUGCAUUUGAAACUGUAGUUCUCGAGUACUGGAGAGGUAGCCGGAAUUCCUGGUGUAGCGGUGAAAUGCGUAGAUAUUAGGAGGAACACCAGUGGCGAAGGCGGUCUGCUGGACAUCAACUGACGCUGAGGCGCGAAGGCGUGGGGAGCAAACAGGAUUAGAUACCCGAGUAGUC
rnacentral:rRNA from 1 species